rnacentral:rRNA from 1 species
UACGGGGGGGGCAAGCGUUGUUCGGAAUUACUGGGCGUAAAGAGCUCGUAGGCGGUCUGUCGCGUCUGCUGUGAAAACUCGGGGCUUAACCCCGGGCCUGCAGUGGGUACGGGCAGACUAGAGUGCGGUAGGGGAGACUGGAAUUCCUGGUGUAGCGGUGAAAUGCGUAGAUAUCAGGAGGAACACCGGUGGCGAAGGCGGGUCUCUGGGCCGUAACUGACGCUGAGGAGCGAAAGCGUGGGGAGCGAACAGG